CAAAUUAGUUGUUCUUUAGCAAUAAAAGAAAAAUUGCAUAGUAAUUGCCGAAAUAAUAUAAAAAAUUUAUCAACUUUGCUGGAACAAGCAUAAAUUGUCAUCUGAAUAUCGCUUCCUCUUUAUAAACAUACCACAAGUGAGCGGAGACAUAUUUUUUACUAAAAGUAGAAGAUCUUCAUUCCUAGGUGCUGGUGCUCGGAAAUGUGGAAAUUAUGAGAAAUUGAGGGGUUUAAAACGAAGUAAAAUACAAAUUUUGGAUGCUGUUGGUAUUAGCAAAAUAUUUUAUCUCUAUUGUCGAAUAUUGCAAAUCGAAAAUUAGCUAAUGCCCUGCUUAUUUUACACUUUGGGUAAUUGACGGGUUUAAACCGAAGUAAAAUAAAGGAAAUGUGAGGCUUUUGCUGCAGUAAAA